rnacentral:rRNA from 1 species
AGUGAACGCUGGCGGUAGGCCUAACACAUGCAAGUCGAACGGCAGCACAGUAAGAGCUUGCUCUUACGGGUGGCGAGUGGCGGACGGGUGAGGAAUACAUCGGAAUCUAUUUUUUCGUGGGGGAUAACGUAGGGAAACUUACGCUAAUACCGCAUACGACCUACGGGUGAAAGCAGGGGAUCUUCGGACCUUGCGCGAUUGAAUGAGCCGAUGUCGGAUUAGCUAGUUGGCGGGGUAAAGGCCCACCAAGGCGACGAUCCGUAGCCGGUCUGAGAGGAUGAACAGCCAGACUGGAACUGAGGCACGAUCCAGACUCCUACGGGAGGCAGCAGUGGGGAAUAUUGGACAAUGGGCGCAAGCCUGAUCCAGCCAUACCGCGUGGGUGAAGAAGGCCUUCGGGUUGUAAAGCCCUUUUGUUGGGAAAGAAAAGCAGCAGGUUAAUACCCCGCUGUUCUGACGGUACCCAAAAAAUAAGCACCGGCUAACUUCGUG